CCACUUUUUUUGUUAAGUCUAUGAAUAGUCAAAGUUGAGCAUUUAUAAAGACAUCAUUUUGUACCUGUGUUAAGGUAUUUACACUGCACUAUACUGGGUUCUUACUGGUGGAAUAUGUUUUUAUCUAAAUAACAACUAUAGCUAAAGUUUGAAAAGCUGGAUAAAGGCUUUAGGAUGUUCUUAUAUAGCUAUCUGCACUGCACUGUUACUACAUCUCGUCAAAUUUGUAGCCGAGUAGCUAUCCUAUUACAUUUUUACAUCUGCACUCUGGCAAUUUUUACUCUAUAAAAACUUUAAUAAUUAUAAACUAGUAGCUAGGUAUCUGCUAUCUAAUACGUCUGAUAUCCAACAAAUAAUUUAUUCCUGGACAAUUUUCCUUCUUUUAAUCACCGGCCUUAUUCCCUGUACUUCAGGAUGGAUGCGCAAGUGAUGUUCCUUCAUCAUUGAAAGUAACCUUUUGCUGUCUGGCUUCAUCAUGCAAUAGACGCAGCUAUUCUAAUGUCCAACAAAUGACAUUCAUCUUCCAACAUUCUGAAAAAUUUUAGGUAUGUCCCCAGGGAAAUAUGAAGCACUGGAAUGGCAACCUAAGGUUUGUUGAAGAAUCUUUAGCCUCAAAAGCACUGAAAACAACAGUAUUGUCUUUACUGUUUGGUUUUGUGACAUUACAUGGUUGAUAAGACAUUUUAAAAGAGCCACCACCAUGGUCACCUCCUAUCUUUAGAUGGAUUUCAUCUUUAAAAGCUUGUCUCUCUAGCAGCAUGGAAUUUCUAAAUUGUAACAAUUAAAAACUUCGUAUUAUACAACCAGGUAAUUGUUGUUGCUGUUGUUGUUUAUGUGCACAGUCAGAAUGCAUUUAAUGUUUUUUCUAAGAAAAACUCACUCAGCCAGUUUGUCCAUAUGUUCAUAAAAGUGUGUUGGCAAAUCAUCAACAUAACACCAAGGAGCCGGUUGGAUUACAUAUACCCCUUUCUGGUCCUUAGACUCGAAGCGGAAUGGGGCAACUUCAACUUUUAAGUUUUCACCGUACCAAUUUUUUGCAACUUGCCUUUGCCUGGCUUGUGAAGCUGGUUGUAUGUUGAAAGUCUUCAACCACCUGAAAUAAUAAUUUAUUUUCUCAACUAUUUUUGAAAAAAUUUUAGGAACAGAUGAAGCAUGGAGUUUGUAUUACCUGGCCAUUGUUUUCAUCUUCUCCCAGGGCACACCCAUAUCUGCUUUUAAAGCAACCAUUGCUUCAGAAGUUAUUGUUGCAGAAGAUAAUUGUGCUUCCUUCAAAAUUGUCUCCCGUUCUGCCUGAGGGAAGCGCUUUACCAAGGCAGAAGUCUGCCCUAACAAGGAAAAUUUUGUCGAUCCAGCUGCCGUGAAGAUUUGGUCGUGAAGGAAUUUUGUUCUUCUUCUCAAGUGACGGCGACUAACAUUUUCUUUAAUUCCUUUUGGAGUAGAUGUCAAAACUAAUGGCUGAAAAUAAUUAUUCUCAUAGAUAAAUAUUGGUAUACAUAACAUAGCUUUUUAUAAAUGUUUUAUUAGAAUAAUAAGAAUAUUAGAGUGAGAUUUA